UAAGGAAUAUUGGUCAAUGGAGGCAACUCUGAACCAGCCAUGCCGCGUGAAGGAUUAAGGCCCUCUGGGUUGUAAACUUCUUUUAUAUGGGAAGAAAUGUUCUGAUUCUUCAGAGCUUGACGGUACCAUAGGAAUAAGCACCGGCUAACUCCGUGCCAGCAGCCGCGGUAAUACGGAGGGUGCAAGCGUUAUCCGGAUUCACUGGGUUUAAAGGGUGCGUAGGUGGGCAGAUAAGUCAGUGGUGAAAUCUUCCGGCUUAACCGGAAAAUUGCCGUAGAUGCUAUUUGUCUUGAAUAUUGUGGAGGUAAGCGGAAUAUGUCAUGUAGCGGUGAAAUGCUUAGAUAUGACAUAGAACACCAAUUGCGAAGGCAGCUUACUAUAUAAUUAUUGACACUGAGGCACGAAAGCGUGGGUAGCGAACA
rnacentral:rRNA from 1 species